GAACAUGAGCAAAUGCAGCUGAGCUUUAAUAUUCGCCAUGUGUGCUAACUGACUACGUGAAUAGCCAAAGGACAAAGGAAAAAAUCAAUGAUCGCCAUCCGUCAUCAAUGUUACCCUUUGCGAAAGACAGAAUGGAUCAUCGAAGCUUUCCAAAUUUCCUUCAGAUAUAUCUUCUGAUUUGGGUGUGUGUAGAAGUUCAUUCGGCCCAUAUCCUAAUGUCGGGAUUUGUCGGGAAAGGAAGCCAUUUUCUUUGCCUCGUCCCGAUCGGGAAAAGCCUGGUACGUCAAGGUCAUAAUGUUUCAAUGCUCAUCAGUGACGAAUACAUGGACAGGGCCAACGACCCCGAACUCAGAAAAUUCUUCAAUUUCGAGAUCUACAAAAACACAGAUCCGCAAUAUUCUACUAGGGAAUAUUUUCAACUAAUGGAGGAGUUGGGCUACAGUGAAAAAGGAGACAUGGUUUCUUUUUUCAAAUCAUUGUCCUCAUUUAAAAAGAUUCUAAUAAAAACCUGCGAGUUUGUCAUGGAAGAUAAAGAAAUGAUGGAUCGUUUUGCGACGUUAGACGCGAUUGUGUCUGAUAUUGGUUGGCCAUGUUCUGGUCUGAUCAAGUUAUACCUGAAGAAAUUUUAUAAUAACACCGGUGUUCGUCUUGUUUUGGACACACCUACCACUCCUAAUAUAGCCAUGUUAGAUGCCUCAGGUUCUCAUUUUAACGCAGCCUAUCAGCCAGCUAUUAUGUCUGGCUUUACUUCCAAUAUGACCUUCAUUGAAAGAACUAUCAACGCACUGUCUGGAUAUAGUAUGAGACUGUUCAUCAUGUUGGCGGGAAAUGCGUUUUUUCCUCUCGCCGAUAAAUAUGGGUUGCGAGAUCAAACCCCCUCAUUGGAAUAUUCCCAAGCGGCCAUAGCUGAUCUGAGCCUAGGGAGUUUCGACUUUGCAAUCGAGUUUCCAUUUCCGAUAUCUCCAAGUUUGAUACCUGUGGGAGGUCUUACAGCUGAACCUCCGAAAGACCUUCCGCAAGACCUAGACGAUUUCAUCCAAAGUUCUGGAGAUGACGGUGUAAUAGUGUUCACCCUCGGUACCUACUUUGCAAGUUUUGCGACUUCCAGACCUCACCUGUUAAAGAUGUUCAUCGAUGCCUUGGCCAAGGUACCUCAGAAGGUCGUCGUGCAACUCAAGGUCAUGCCCCAGUACGACCUUCCAUCAAAUAUUAAAGCUUUACCAUGGCUACCUCAGAAUGACCUCCUUGGUCAUCCCAAGACUCGGCUCUUCAUAUACCACGGAGGCAACAACGGGUUCUAUGAAGCUGUUUAUCAUGGCGUACCUACCAUCGUUCUGCCGUUCUUUGGGGAUCAACUGGACACUGCCUCCAGAAUCACUUAUCACGGUAUGGGACUUAAACUUGACAAGAUGAUACUGAGCGUCGACUACAUUUAUAAUCACGUGAUUGAAGUUUUAGGAGACUAUAAAUACAGUGUAGCAGCCAAACGCCUUUCCGCCAUCUUGAGAGAUCGGCCAAUGACCCCUGCUGAUCGAGCUGCUUUCUGGAUCCAACACGUGAUCAAACAUGGCGGCGACUACCUACGAACUCCUGCUGAUGAUUUAUCAUUCAUUCAGUACAAUAUGAUUGAUGUAUAUGCAUUUCUUGUGGGUGUAGUUGUGACCAUAUUAUUUGUAUUUUACAAGAUUACACGGUGCUUCGUUGCUUGCUGUAUGGGAAAGAAAGGUAGUACUAAAGAGAAACGCCAGUGAAAAAAAAGAAGCGAUCGAAUUACAAAAUUUAACACAAAAUUGAUAUUUGCCAGAUUAAUUGUUAGGAGGGCAAUGCGCUCAAAAAUUUAAUGUGACGUCAUUAUUUUUAAAAUCUAAUUUUGCGGUUAUUAUAGAGUUAUAUAAAACCGACACCUGUCUUUUCAUUGCCCUUCUUUCUUUUUCCAUAUUCCCCAAUCUCUUUCACUACUUGUAUGAUCAAAGAGAGUGGUCACUCUCUUGCCUGAUGUCUUCAUUUCUCAGGAUAACAACAAUUAAAUUAUUAAAGCAGCUUCAGAACUUCCGAAGAGCUGCAUUGUGGAAGACGGUUUAUAAUUUAUCAAUGAAUAGAAUGAUCUAUAUACAUAUUCAGAGAAUAUGGUAGUGUUCUAAUACAAUUAGAAAAUACAAGGUUGGAGCAUUUCAUUUAUUGUAUGUAUUUAUAUAAUGAGAACAUGGAUUUUUGUAUGAAUCAUAAUACUAUCAGUAUCAUCAAUCUUAUUUUACAACUUUUUUGUUCAUAUUGGUUUCAUUCUCCUUUAACAAUUUCCCACCACUUCGCCUUAAACCGUCUGCAAAUACCCUGCCCUCAAAAUGAGCACAAAAAUUGAAAAAUAACUAGAAUUUUAAUUCGUCAUGAGGACGAAUUAGGUGAUCUGUCUCCGAUUUCAUGAUCAGGAAGACAAUCAGCAUGUUUAUUGAGAUCAAUAUGAUCAUCAUGAUGAAAACUGAACUUCUCUUACGAAAAGAACGUGUUGAAUACUCUUGAAAAAGAGGGAAAUGAAAAAGUUGUGUGAAAAAGUGUAGGUCAUACACAUAUUGUACAGGAACAUUGUACAUUAAAAGGGAUUUUAAUCUCGUUUAUUGUCCAAUGAUCUAUUUUAUAUACAUUGUAAUGGUCAUAAAGGACCAUUUGUGAAAUGUC